GAUGAAGAACGUAGCGAAAUGCGAUACGUAAUGUGAAUUGUAGAAUUCAGUGAAUCAUCGAAUCUUUGAACGCAUAUUGCGCUCUCUGGUAUUCCGGAGAGCAUGCUUGUUUGAGUAUCAGUAAACACCUCAACUUCCAUAUCUUUUUUGAAAUGGGAGUUGGACUUGAGUGAUCCCAACGCUUUUCCUCACCGAAAAGUGGCGGGUUACUUGAAAUGCAGGUGCAGCUGGACUUUUCUCUGAGCUAUAAGCAUAUCUAUUUAGUCUGCCUAAAAAACAGAUUAUUACCUUUGCUGCAGCUAACAUAAAGGAGAUUAGUUCUUGUGCUGACUGAUGCAGGAUUCACAAAGACGGCUUCGGCCGACUUUGUAAACUCGAUCUCAAAUCAAGUAAGACUACCCGCUGAACUUAAGCAUAUCAAUAAGCGGAGG
rnacentral:misc_RNA from 1 species